rnacentral:rRNA from 1 species
UGGGGAAUAUUGCACAAUGGGCGAAAGCCUGAUGCAGCGACGCCGCGUGCGGGAUGAAGGCCUUCAGGUUGUAAACCGCUUUUGAUUGGGAGCAAGCGAGAGUGAGUGUACCUUUCGAAUAAGCACCGGCUAACUACGUGCCAGCAGCCGCGGUAAUACGUAGGGUGCAAGCGUUAUCCGGAAUUAUUGGGCGUAAAGAGCUCGUAGGCGGUUUGUCGCGUCUGGUGUGAAAGUCCAUCGCUUAACGGCGGAUCUGCGCCGGGUACGGGCAGGCUAGAGUGCGACGGGGGAGACUGGAAUUCCCGGGUGUAACGGUGGAAUGUGUAGAUAUCGGGAAGAACACCAAUGGCGAAGGCAGGUCUCUGGGUCGUCACUGACGCUGAGGAGCGAAAGCGUGGGGAGCGAACAGGAUUAGAUACCCUGGUAGUCCACGCCGUAAACGGUGGAUGCUGGAUGUGGGGCCCAUUCCACGGGUUCCGUGUCGGAGCUAACGCGUUAAGCAU